rnacentral:lncRNA from 10 species
AAAGUGCUGAGAUUAUAGGUAUGAGCCACCGUGCCCAGCUGAGAUUGUGAUUUAAUGGGAAUGGGUGUGGUCUGGACACUGGGAUUUUUUAAAAGCUCCCCUGUGGGCCGGGUGCGGUGGCUCACACCUAUAAUCCCAGCACUUUGGGAGGCCGAGGUGGGUGAAUCAUGAGGUCAGGAGAUUGAGAACAUCCUGGCUAACACAGUGAAACCCCAUCUCUACUAAAAAUACAAAAAAUUAGCCAGGCAUGGUGGCAGGCGCCUGUGGUCCCAGCUACUUGGGAGGCUGAGGCAGGAGAAUGGCAUGAACCCGGGAGGCAGAGCUUGCAGUGAGCCGAGAUUGCACCACUGCCCUCCAGCCGGGGCGGCAGAGCAAGACUCCUUCUCAAAAAAAAAAAAAAAUCUCCCCUGUGGUUCUAGUGUGCAGGGAACCAGUUCAAAUUCCAUCCUUUGUGCUCUGAAGACCAGCACUUCAGGGAGAAAAUGAAGAAAGAGGCUUAUCAGCACCUCCCUCUCUGGAGUCUUCUCCCUUCUGCACAGCUGAGGAUAACAAGUGAAUGUACGUAAACUAAUUCACACUAGACUGUUGAUGGUUAAUAUGUUUGCUCUCCAGGCCACAUUUUUACUGACCUGGCAGCUGCAAAACCCUGAUGACAGACCGUGGGUGAUGCGGGCAUUCUGGCAGGAGAUGGGGAAGAUUAUUUUUCUGAGGCUGCAUCUUAGCAUCCACCCUACCCCGACUCUUCCCCUACUCCUCAUAAAGAGGUAGCCUUGCCCUCUUCCUGCAUCCCCUCUCCCUGCUUUAGAUAGCGUUGCCAAAUACAUAAAAAUACAGCAUCUGAGCUACAUUUGAAUUUCAGGUGAGCAAUGCAUUUCUUCAGUAGGAAUGUGUCCCAUGCAAUAUUUGGAACAUAUGUAUACUAAAAAGUUAUUCAUUGCUGAUUUCAAAUUCAAAUCAAAUCGGGUGUCCUGUGUUUUGUCUGGCAAGCCGAGCUUUAGGCCCACACCACGGACAUGGAGUUAAAAAUGAGAGAAGACUGGAGCAAAAAACUGUUUCCGUUGAACAAGACUCUCUGCUGGUGAGACUCCAAAAUGGAAUUCAAAAGAUCCCAGGGACAGGGAGGCCUUGAGUGAAUCCCACUCUUUCUUCGGGCCUGUUUCUCCAUCUGUAAAGCGAGAACCUUUUCGUCGCCUCAAGGCCUGUUGACUCCUGGGGAUUCUGGCAAAGUGCCCAGGGGCUGGGAAAGGCCUCUUAACCAAGGAGGGGGCUGGAACCCGCCACCCCGGCAUUAGGACUCUUGUGGUCGCAGGUGACAGAAAACACAACUCAAACUGACUUGAGUGACAAGAUGGCCCCAGCAGCCUCAGCCGAGAUGAUGGACAAUUCUCUUCUCUUACCAACAACUCCAGCAAGAGCCCCAGACUGGGUCUCAGGGAUCCUUCCUGUGUCCCUUGUUCGUCCCAACUGGGCACAGGAGGCUCUGACCAGCUGGGCUGUGUCCCCUUCUGUAGCCCGGGGAAAAAUCAGCCCUCGUGGGAUGCUAGGACUAAGAAGGGGAGAGACAUUUCCCCAGAGGAAAACCCACGGCACAGCCACGUGGAAGAGGUUGCAAUGACUGUGUCACAACCUGGUGAACCUUCUAGGCCUGGGUCCCUGCGUGACCACGUGGAGCAGAACCCCCAGUGACCUGUGCUGGACUUGGAGGAGAACAGUGGAUAAAUAAACCUUUGUUAUAUUGAGU